rnacentral:rRNA from 1 species
CUGCCCAAUGAGGAAUUAAAUGGCCGCGGUACUUUGACCGUGCAAAGGUAGCAUAAUCAUUAGUUUUUUAAUUGAAAGCUGGUAUGAAAGGUUGGAUGAGAGAAUAACUGUCUCUAUUUAAAUUAUUUAGAAUUUUAUUUUUAAGUAAGAAAGCUUAAAUUUUAAUAGAAGACGAGAAGACCCUAUAGAGUUUUAUAAAUUUUAAUUUGAAGAGAUUUUAGAAUUAAUAAAUUUUUAUAUUAAGAUUUAUUUGGUUGGGGCGACUGAAAAAUUUAAUAAACUUUUUUUAAUUAUUUAAACAUUAAUUUAUGAUUAGAUGAUCCUUAUUUAAAGAUUAAAAGAAAAAAUUACCUUAGGGAUAACAGCGUAAUUUUUUUAAAGAGUUCAAAUCGAAAAAAAAGAUUGCGACCUCGAUGUUGGAUUAAAAUAAAAUUUUGGUGUAGGAGCUAAAGUAUUUGGGUCUGUUCGACCCUUAAAAUUUUACAUGAUCUGAGUUUAAACCGGUGU